rnacentral:lncRNA from 1 species
UCAAGCUGGGGAUUAGAACAAAUCUGUUAGAAAUAAUCUGUUGGGGAUGAGAUGAACACUGGGAACACCACCCUCUUGUCCGUUGGGUAUGCAACCACUCCGCUGUUGCUAGGAAGAUACAGUCUGACACUGUCAACUCCGCUGGGGAUAUAUAGUCUGGAUACUGUCAACUCUACUGGGGAUAGACAGUCUGGAUACUGUCAACUCUGUUGGGG